AGAAAAUCCCCAUUAAAGAAAUAUGGGUAAAGGUCAAGGAGGAGGACGAUCUGCAGCAGGUUGCCUAUCAGCUAUCAUAUGGUUUCUUCUUAUAUUUCUGGCAUGGCCGUUAGCAUUUUUACUUUCCUUUGUAUACAUAUUCCUGUUGCCAUUUGGAGCAUGCAUAGACCCUAUUAGGUCCAUAAAUGAACAAUUGGUGCGCAUAUUGCAGCUUCCAUAUACCUGUGCUCAGAACAUGAUGACCAUGAAACCUCUUUGUUAAUGCAGAUUGAUUCCGGCUGAUGCUAAAUGUGGCAUAACAUUACCUGUGUAACUCUCGUAUACAGACUUUGUCUUUAUUUUAUUUUUAUAUAACCGAUAUAUUAAUAUUUGUUUUACAUCUAAUUUAUGCUAUAUUGUUAUAUUUCUAUAUAUUAUAUUUAAAUUAUAGUUAUUUUUAUUAUUUGAUUAAUUUGCAUAUUACAUUUUGUACAAAG
rnacentral:lncRNA from 1 species